rnacentral:rRNA from 1 species
AGUGAACGCUGGCGGCGUGCCUAAUACAUGCAAGUCGAACGCAGUGGCGCACGGGGGAGUAAUAUAUAGUUAAUCUGGCCUACACAGAGGAAAAACAGUUGGAAACGACUGCUAAUACCUCAUAGUGUAGGAUGAGACUAUAUCGUAUCAGCUAGUUGGUAAGGUAAUGGCUUACCAUGGCUAUGACGCGUAACUGGUCUGAGAGGAUGAUCAGCAACAUUGUAACGGAGGCACCGUCCAGGAUCCUACGGCAAGGGGCGGUAAGGAGUACUGCGCAAUGGGGGAAACCCUAACGCAGCUUCGCCGCGUAAAGCAUGACACUUUUCGAAGCGUAAACUCCUUUUAUCAGGAAAGCGGUACCUGAUGAAUAAGCACCGGCUAACUCCGUGCCAGCAGCCGCGGUAAUAC